rnacentral:rRNA from 1 species
AUGUGCUUACUCAGGAGGAAAUCGGUACCCCGCGAGGCUGGCGAAGUCGGCACAAGAAGUAGGCGGAGUAGAGGCAGCAGUUGCGGGCUCAGGUGCGGCAAUCGCAAUCAAUAUUCCCGUCUGGGGUUGGCGGAGUUGGUAGAAAGCACGGUUGGCGAUAAGCUGGUACUAGUUUCAUUCUUUCUAUUCCAAAAUCCAAUUGGAAUUAGUUGUUUCCUGUCAAAGUCGAGGGCUUUAAACAGAGGACUAUAA